rnacentral:rRNA from 1 species
AGCAACAGCUAGCUUAACACUAAAUAACUAAACAAUAUAAAUAAAACAAAAUAAACCUGACACCAAAAAUUAAAUCAUUCUUUUACCUUAGUAUGGGAGACAGAAAAGGUUCCACUAAAGCAAUAGAAAAAGUACCGCAAGGGAAAGCUGAAAGAGAAAUGAAAUAAUCCAUAUAAGCACCAAAAAGCAAAGAUUCAACCUUGUACCUUUUGCAUCAUGAUUUAGCCAGUAUACCCAAGCAAAGAGACCUUUAGUUUGAAACCCCGAAACCAGGUGAGCUACCCCGAGACAGCCUAUUAUAGGGCUAACCCGUCUCUGUGGCAAAAGAGUGGGAAGAGCUCCGGGUAGAAGUGACAGACCUACCGAACCUGGUGAUAGCUGGUUGCCUAAGAAAUGGAUAGAAGUUCAGCCUCGUACACCUCAAAUCAAAUAAUACAUAAGCAAGACACCAAGAGAUAUCUAUGAGAGUUAGUUAAAGGGGGUACAGCCCCUUUAACAAAGGACACAACCUUCCCAGGAGGAUAAAGAUCAUAAUACAAAAAACAUACUGUUCUAGUGGGCCUAAAAGCAGCCACCCAAACAGAAAGCGUUAAAGCUCAGACAGAAGAAAGUUUAUUAUACCGAUAAAAAAUCUUACUCCCCUAGAAAAUAUUAGGCCCACCCAUGCCCCCAUGGGAGAGAUUAUGCUAAAAUGAGUAACAAGAAGGCCCGCCCUUCUCCAAGCACAAGUGUAAGCCAAACCGGACUAACCAUUGGCAAAUAACGAACUCAACCCAAGAGAGCAAUGUGGAUUACAAAAAAAUCAAGAAAAACUCACAACCAAAUUAUCGUUAACCCCACACUGGAGUGCACCUAAAGGAAAGACUAAAAGAAAAGGAAGGAACUCGGCAAACACAAGCCUCGCCUGUUUACCAAAAACAUCGCCUCCUGCAACACAGCCAAGUAUAGGAGGUCCAGCCUGCCCAGUGACUACAAGUUUAACGGCCGCGGUAUUUUGACCGUGCAAAGGUAGCGCAAUCACUUGUCUUUUAAAUAGAGACCUGUAUGAAUGGCCAAACGAGGGCUUAACUGUCUCCCCUUUCCAGUCAGUGAAAUUGAUUC